rnacentral:rRNA from 1 species
CAGUCGCCACGGUAAUACAGAGGGUGCGAGCGUUAAUCGGAUUUACUGGGCGUAAAGCGUGCGUAGGCGGCUAAUUGAGUCGGAUGUGAAAUCCCCGAGCUUAACUUGGGAAUUGCAUUCGAUACUGGUUAGCUAGAGUGUGGGAGAGGAUGGUAGAAUUCCAGGUGUAGCGGUGAAAUGCGUAGAGAUCUGGAGGAAUACCGAUGGCGAAGGCAGCCAUCUGGCCUAACACUGACGCUGAGGUACGAAAGCAUGGGGAGCAAACAGGAUUAGAUACCCCGGUAGUCCCUGUCUCUUAUAA